AGUUUGACUGGGGCGGUCUCCUCCUAAAGAGUAACGGAGGAGCACGAAGGUUGGCUAAUCCUGGUCGGACAUCAGGAGGUUAGUGCAAUGGCAUAAGCCAGCUUGACUGCGAGCGUGACGGCGCGAGCAGGUGCGAAAGCAGGUCAUAGUGAUCCGGUGGUUCUGAAUGGAAGGGCCAUCGCUCAACGGAUAAAAGGUACUCCGGGGAUAACAGGCUGAUACCGCCCAAGAGUUCAUAUCGACGGCGGUGUUUGGCACCUCGAUGUCGGCUCAUCACAUCCUGGGGCUGAAGUAGGUCCCAAGGGUAUGGCUGUUCGCCAUUUAAAGUGGUACGCGAGCUGGGUUUAGAACGUCGUGAGACAGUUCGGUCCCUAUCUGCCGUGGGCGCUGGAGAACUGA
rnacentral:rRNA from 1 species